GGCUCACCUAGGCGACGAUCCCUAGCUGGUCUGAGAGGAUGACCAGCCACACUGGAACUGAGACACGGUCCAGACUCCUACGGGAGGCAGCAGUGGGGAAUAUUGCACAAUGGGCGCAAGCCUGAUGCAGCCAUGCCGCGUGUGUGAAGAAGGCCUUCGGGUUGUAAAGCACUUUCAGCGGGGAGGAAGGCGGUGAGGUUAAUAACCUCAUCGAUUGACGUUACCCGCAGAAGAAGCACCGGCUAACUCCGUGCCAGCAGCCGCGGUAAUACGGAGGGUGCAAGCGUUAAUCGGAAUUACUGGGCGUAAAGCGCACGCAGGCGGUCUGUCAAGUCGGAUGUGAAAUCCCCGGGCUCAACCUGGGAACUGCAUUCGAAACUGGCAGGCUAGAGUCUUGUAGAGGGGGGUAGAAUUCCAGGUGUAGCGGUGAAAUGCGUAGAGAUCUGGAGGAAUACCGGUGGCGAAGGCGGCCCCCUGGACAAAGACUGACGCUCAGGUGCGAAAGCGUGGGGAGCAAACAGGAUUAGAUACCCUGGUAGUCCACGCCGUAAACGAUGUCGAUUUGGAGGUUGUGCCCUUGAGGCGUGGCUUCCGGAGCUAACGCGUUAAAUCGACCGCCUGGGGAGUACGGCCGCAAGGUUAAAACUCAAAUGAAUUGACGGGGGCCCGCACAAGCGGUGGAGCAUGUGGUUUAAUUCGAUGCAACGCGAAGAACCUUACCUGGUCUUGACAUCCACAGAACUUAGCAGAGAUGCUUUGGUGCCUUCGGGAACUGUGAGACAGGUGCUGCAUGGCUGUCGUCAGCUCGUGUUGUGAAAUGUUGGGUUAAGUCCCGCAACGAGCGCAACCCUUAUCCUUUGUUGCCAGCGGUUAGGCCGGGAACUCAAAGGAGACUGCCAGUGAUAAACUGGAGGAAGGUGGGGAUGACGUCAAGUCAUCAUGGCCCUUACGACCAGGGCUACACACGUGCUACAAUGGCAUAUACAAAGAGAAGCGACCUCGCGAGAGCAAGCGGACCUCAUAAAGUAUGUCGUAGUCCGGAUUGGAGUCUGCAACUCGACUCCAUGAAGUCGGAAUCGCUAGUAAUCGUAGAUCAGAAUGCUACGGUGAAUACGUUCCCGGGCCUUGUACACACCGCCCGUCACACCAUGGGAGUGGGUUGCAAAAGAAGUAGGUAGCUUAACCUUCGGGAGGGCGCUUACCACUUUGUGAUUCAUGACUGGGGUGAAGUCGUAACAAGGUAACCGUAGGGGAACCUGCGGUUGGAUCACCUCCUUACCUUAAAGAA
rnacentral:rRNA from 1 species